rnacentral:tRNA from 1 species
GGGGUUGUGGCUCAGUGGUAGAGCGAGUGCUUGCCUAGCAUGUGCAAGGCCCUGAGUUUGAUCCUCAGCACCA